CGGAGGAUCCAAGCGUUAUCCGGAAUCAUUGGGUUUAAAGGUCCGUAGGCGGUCUAGUAAGUCAGUGGUGAAAGCCCAUCGCUCAACGGUGGAACGGCCAUUGAUACUGCUGGACUUGAAUUAUUAGGAAGUAACUAGAAUAUGUAGUGUAGCGGUGAAAUGCUUAGAGAUUACACGGAAUACCGAUUGCGAAGGCAGGUUACUACUAAUGGAUUGACGCUGAUGGACGAAAGCGUGGGUAGCGAACAGGAUUAGAUACCCUGGUAGUCCACGCCGUAAACGAUGGAUACUAGCUGUUGGGCGCAAGUUCAGUGGCUAAGCGAAAGUGAUAAGUAUCCCACCUGGGGAGUACGUUCGCAAGAAUG
rnacentral:rRNA from 1 species